AGUCCGAGUCAAUGAGCGGCAAACCGAGUAAAAGACUCCCCCGCCCACCACGCAUACUUUCAACGCCUAUUCUCAUUUUCUCGCAGUUUCCUGGAAAAUUCAUAUACACUGCAUGCGUUCUCCUUAAGAAACCCGUAUAAAUACCCUCAAACCUUUCCUCUACACUCAUCUUAUUGAUUCAGCCAUCGAAAUAUUUCAUUUUCUACUUCUCUCUCUCUCUCUCUCUCUCUCUCUGAGAGUCUCGAUUUCGCUAUCAGAUCUUCCUGGAAUCAAUAUCUGUUGGAUUUCGAAGAUGAGUCCCAUGAAGUUGUUUGGUCUCCCAAUCAUUGGGCUUGUCUUCUUGGCACUGAUGCAGCUCAGCUAUGGACAAGGCGUGGCUCCUUCGCCCGCACCAGAGGGCCCAUCUAGCGAUGGCAACGCUAUCGAUCAAGGAAUUGCUUUCAUCCUUAUGCUGGUGGCUCUUGCAGUUACCUACCUUAUCCAUUGAUUCCUUUCAUUUCAUCCCUCAAUUUAUUUAUUUAUUUAUAAUUAUUAUUAUAAAUUCUUCAUAUGCUUUCUCCUCACUUAUUUGGAGAAAUUGCAGCGAUUUUGUAUCUUUUACAUCAUUUUAAAUUAUAAAAAUAAAUAAAAAAUAUAUUUUUUUCUAUGUUAA